rnacentral:rRNA from 1 species
AUUACCGCGGCUGCUGGCACGUAGUUAGCCGGUGCUUAUUCUGCAGGUACCGUCAUCCACACAGGGUAUUAACCCAUGCGAUUUCUUUCCUGCCAAAAGUGCUUUACAACCCGAAGGCCUUCAUCGCACACGCGGGAUGGCUGGAUCAGGGUUGCCCCCAUUGUCCAAAAUUCCCCACUGCUGCCUCCCGUAGG